GCACUCACUUUGGAAGCACAUAUAGCAAAAUUGAAGAUUAGUAUGUCCUCUGUGCAGAGAUGACAUGUAAAUUUGUGAUACCUUUCAUAUUUUU
ensembl:snRNA U6 U6 spliceosomal RNA